rnacentral:tRNA from 1 species
AGGGAUAUAGCUCAGUGGUUGAGAAUGUGCCUAGCAUGUACAAGGCCCGGGGUUCAAUCCCUAGCACUG